rnacentral:rRNA from 1 species
ACGGGACCCGCACAAGUGGUGAACAUGUGGUUUAAUUCGAAGAUACACGAAGAACCUUACCUGGCCUUGACAUGGUAGGAACCCUUAAGAGAUUAGGGGUGCUAGCUUGCUAGAACCUACACACAGGUGCUGCACGGCUGUCGUCAGCUCGUGUCGUGAGAUGUUGGGUUAAGUCCCGCAACGAGCGCAACCCUUAUCCCCAGUUGCCAUCAGGUAAAGCUGGGAACUCUGGGGAGACUGCCGGUGAUAAACCGGAGGAAGGCGGGGAUGACGUCAAGUCCUCAUGGCCCUUACAUCCCGGGCUACACACGUGCUACAAUGGCAGGUACAGAGGGCUGCGAAGCCGCGAGGUGGAGCGAAUCCCAGAAAACCUGUCUCAGUCCGGAUUGAAGUCUGCAACUCGACUUCAUGAAGGCGGAAUCGCUAGUAACCGCGAAUCAGCAGGUCGCGGUGAAUACGUUCCCGGGCCUU